rnacentral:rRNA from 1 species
AAAUUGAAGAGUUUGAUCAUGGCUCAGAUUGAACGCUGGCGGCAGGCCUAACACAUGCAAGUCGAGCGGUAACACAGGGAGCUUGCUCCCGGGUGACGAGCGGCGGACGGGUGAGUAAUGUCUGGGAAACUGCCUGAUGGAGGGGGAUAACUACUGGAAACGGUAGCUAAUACCGCAUAACGUCGCAAGACCAAAGAGGGGGACCUUCGGGCCUCUUGCCAUCAGAUGUGCCCAGAUGGGAUUAGCUAGUAGGUGGGGUAACGGCUCACCUAGGCGACGAUCCCUAGCUGGUCUGAGAGGAUGACCAGCCACACUGGAACUGAGACACGGUCCAGACUCCUACGGGAGGCAGCAGUGGGGAAUAUUGCACAAUGGGCGCAAGCCUGAUGCAGCCAUGCCGCGUGUAUGAAGAAGGCCUUCGGGUUGUAAAGUACUUUCAGCGGGGAGGAAGGCGUUGAGGUUAAUAACCUCAGCGAUUGACGUUACCCGCAGAAGAAGCACCGGCUAACUCCGUGCCAGCAGCCGCGGUAAUACGGAGGGUGCAAGCGUUAAUCGGAAUUACUGGGCGUAAAGCGCACGCAGGCGGUCUGUCAAGUCGGAUGUGAAAUCCCCGGGCUCAACCUGGGAACUGCAUUCGAAACUGGCAGGCUAGAGUCUUGUAGAGGGGGGUAGAAUUCCAGGUGUAGCGGUGAAAUGCGUAGAGAUCUGGAGGAAUACCGGUGGCGAAGGCGGCCCCCUGGACAAAGACUGACGCUCAGGUGCGAAAGCGUGGGGAGCAAACAGGAUUAGAUACCCUGGUAGUCCACGCCGUAAACGAUGUCGACUUGGAGGUUGUGCCCUUGAGGCGUGGCUUCCGGAGCUAACGCGUUAAGUCGACCGCCUGGGGAGUACGGCCGCAAGGUUAAAACUCAAAUGAAUUGACGGGGGCCCGCACAAGCGGUGGAGCAUGUGGUUUAAUUCGAUGCAACGCGAAGAACCUUACCUACUCUUGACAUCCAGAGAACUUUCCAGAGAUGGAUUGGUGCCUUCGGGAACUCUGAGACAGGUGCUGCAUGGCUGUCGUCAGCUCGUGUUGUGAAAUGUUGGGUUAAGUCCCGCAACGAGCGCAACCCUUAUCCUUUGUUGCCAGCGGUCCGGCCGGGAACUCAAAGGAGACUGCCAGUGAUAAACUGGAGGAAGGUGGGGAUGACGUCAAGUCAUCAUGGCCCUUACGAGUAGGGCUACACACGUGCUACAAUGGCGCAUACAAAGAGAAGCGACCUCGCGAGAGCAAGCGGACCUCAUAAAGUGCGUCGUAGUCCGGAUUGGAGUCUGCAACUCGACUCCAUGAAGUCGGAAUCGCUAGUAAUCGUAGAUCAGAAUGCUACGGUGAAUACGUUCCCGGGCCUUGUACACACCGCCCGUCACACCAUGGGAGUGGGUUGCAAAAGAAGUAGGUAGCUUAACCUUCGGGAGGGCGCUUACCACUUUGUGAUUCAUGACUGGGGUGAAGUCGUAACAAGGUAACCGUAGGGGAACCUGCGGUUGGAUCACCUCCUUACCUUAAAGAA